rnacentral:rRNA from 1 species
UACAGAGGGUGCGAGCGUUAAUCGGAAUUACUGGGCGUAAAGCGUGCGUAGACGGUUAUUUAAGUCGGAUGUGAAAUCCCCGGGCUUAACCUGGGAACUGCAGUCGAGACUGUCUAGCUAGAGUAUGGGAGAGGGAAGUGGAAUUUCAGGUGUAGCGGUGAAAUGCGUAGAUAUCUGAAGGAACAUCAGUGGCGAAAGCGACUUCCUGGACCAAUACUGACGCUCAUGUGCGAAAGCGUGGGGAGCAAACAGG